ACACCUCAACUCUCAUGGUUUGCCGUGAUGAGCUUGGACUUUGGGGGUUUUGCCGGCCGUGCGGUCAGCUCCUCUAAAAUUAAUCAGCUUGCCAGUGUUUGGUGGCGCCGCAGGUGUGAUAACCGUCUACGCUUGUGGUCGUCUGCCAGGUGACCUUCGGUUACGGAGGUUUGCUGGAGCUUCCAAAUGUCUCUCCUUAGCGAAGACAGCUUCUCGAUC
rnacentral:misc_RNA from 1 species